rnacentral:rRNA from 1 species
UACAGAGGUCUCAAGCGUUGUUCGGAUUCAUUGGGCGUAAAGGGUGCGUAGGUGGCGCCGUAAGUCGGGUGUGAAAUUUCGGAGCUUAACUCCGAAACUGCAUUCGAUACUGCGGUGCUUGAGGACUGGAGAGGAGACUGGAAUUCAUGGUGUAGCAGUGAAAUGCGUAGAGAUCGUAAGGAAGACCAGUGGCGAAGGCGAGUUUCUGGACAGUUACUGACGCUGAGGCACGAAGGCCAGGGGAGCAAACGGG